UGAGGAAUAUUGGUCAAUGGGCGCAAGGCUGACGCAGCAACGCCGCGUGGGUGAUGAAGGCCUUCGGGUCGUAAAGCCCUGUCAGGUGGGAAGAAAGGCCUUGAGGAGAAACGCUUGAGGUUUGACGGUACCACCAGAGGAAGCACCGGCUAACUCCGUGCCAGCAGCCGCGGUAAUACGGAGGGUGCGAGCGUUAUUCGGAAUUACUGGGCGUAAAGCGCGUGUAGGCGGGGGGACAAGUCUGAUGUGAAAGCCCUGGGCUUAACCUGGGAAGUGCAUUGGAAACUGUUUUUCUUGAGUACUGGAGAGGAAGGGGGAAUUCCCGGUGUAGAGGUGAAAUUCGUAGAGAUCGGGAGGAAUACCAGUGGCGUAGGCGCCCUUCUGGACGGUAACUGACGCUGAGACGCGAAAGCGUGGGGAGCAAACAG
rnacentral:rRNA from 1 species